CACCCUCAUCCACCAAUCAUUCAUGCUAUGAUUUCUAUCUCUCUAUUGAAUGCACACAAACUCAUCUCUCUCCCUCUCAUUUAAUUCUUAUAACAAUUAUGGUUGUUGGGUUGGAUUAAUGGUUGGAACAUCAUCGUCAUCAUCAUAAAUUCUUCAUAUAAAAAGUUGGGUCAUCAAAAGUGCAAGAACAAUCUCCUUUGGGUCAAAAUUCGGGUUUGAGGAUUUGUGAAACUUUUGGUAACCAAAAGAGCCCAAGAGCUUGAUGUGCUUGCUAGACAUUGGACUUGACCAUCAAUCCGUGAUUCAUUACCCGUUAAUGGGACUUGCUUAGGAUCAUGAGCCGUCUUUUGAAUGUAUUUUGUAAACUUUUGAUUGUUGUAUGCUCCUUAUGCUUUUGUGACUUUGUAAUCUAAAUGGUUGGGUUCACGGAAUCUUUUUAUUUUCAUAUA